GAUGCCCUCCACGGUCGUCACGGCAACCAGGUGUAAGGAGCAGAGGGGCGCGAGGCAGGCGUUGACGGCGUGAUGACUGGAGCGGAGUUAAAGUCGGUGAUGAUGUGGUUGAGGAGGCGGAGACACUCCACGUGUUGAUGAACGAGCUCCUUCUCUUCGUAGAAGUCGGAGAAUCCCGGCAGAGACGCGAACAGGACGCCGACUCGCUCGUAGGUGUAGAGGGCGGCGGCCAGCAGCAGGGCGGCGAGCUUCAACACACAGCUCAGCCUGAGGAACACCGCACAGAUGUUGAUGUCGGGCCAGGCGGAGGUGGGCGGAGCCAACACUGAGUCACUGCUGUUGAUGUGCGUUUGUGACGAGUCACACCACAGCUGGAG